GAGCUUGUUUCAGCAGCACAUAUAAUACAAUUAGAAUGACACAGAGAAAUUUAGAUGGCUCCUGUGCAAGAAGAAAGUAAAAUACAAAAAAAACCGAUUUUUUUU